AUUGAACGCUGGCGGCAGGCCUAACACAUGCAAGUCGAACGAGUGGCGGACGGGUGAGUAAUGUCUGGGUAUCUGCCUGAUGGAGGGGGAUAACUACUGGAAACGGUAGCUAAUACCGCAUACCAUCAGAUGUGCCCAGAUGGGAUUAGCUUGUUGGUGGGGUAACGGCUCACCAAGGCGACGAUCACUAGCUGGUCUGAGAGGAUGACCAGCCACACUGGAACUGAGACACGGUCCAGAAGCCAACGGGAGGCAGCAGGGGGGAAUAGUGCACAAUGGGGGAAAGCCUGAUGCAGCCAUGCCGCGUGUAUGAAGAAGGCCUUCGGGUUGUAAAGUACUUUCAGCGGGGAGGCGUUACCCGCAGAAGAAGCACCGGCUAACUCCGUGCCAGCAGCCGCGGUAAUUC
rnacentral:rRNA from 1 species